GCUGACGGGAUCCUGGCUUCUGAGACGCUCCGCUACAAUUUGCCAGGCGGUCCUUCGUGCGUCGUGCCUCAGGCUUGUGACCCGCAGUAUUAAAUGGUGGAAACUGAGACGCAGGCAGAGAAAUGGAGUGACUUGUGGGAUCUCACAGAAGCUAUGUGAUUGAAAACUGCGGAUGUUUGAGAUCAUCUUUUACUGCGUUUAUUUG